rnacentral:rRNA from 1 species
UACGUAGGGAGCAAGCGUUGUCCGGAAUCAUUGGGCGUAAAGCGCGCGUAGGUGGCUUCGUAAGUCCGUUGUGAAAGUCAAAGGCUCAACCUUUGAAAGCCGAUGGAUACUGUGAAGCUAGAGUACGGAAGAGGCGAGUGGAAUUCCUGGUGUAGCGGUGAAAUGCGCAGAUAUCAGGAGGAACACCAAUUGCGAAGGCAGCUCGCUGGAACGUAACUGACGCUGAGACGCGAAAGCGUGGGGAGCAAACAGG